CCUACGGGUGGCAGCAGUGAGGAAUAUUGGUCAAUGGGCGGGAGCCUGAACCAGCCAUGCCGCGUGAAGGCGAGGGACCUACGGGCGUUAAACUUCUUUUGUGCGGGAGCAAGAAGGGCGACGCGUGGCCCGAUGAGAGUACCGCAAGAAUAAGCAGCGGCGAACUCCGUGCCAGCAGCCGCGGGAAGACGGGGGAUGCGAGCGUUCUCCGGAUUUAUUGGGGGUACCGGGGGCGUCGGCGGCGCUUCAGGGCAGCGGUGAAAUCCCGGGGCUCAACCCCGGGGCUGCCGUUGAAACCGGCGCGCUAGACUUCCGAUGCCGUCGGUGGAAUGUGUGGUGUAGCGGUUAAAUGCAUAGAUAUCACACAGAACACCGAUUGCGACGGCAUCUGACGAAUCGGAGAUUGACGCUGAUGCACGAAAGCGUGGGUAUCGAACAGGAUUAGAUACCCCAGUAGUC
rnacentral:rRNA from 1 species